UACGUAGGGUGCGAGCGUGUCCGGAAUUAUUGGGCGUAAAGAGCUCGUAGGCGGUCUGUCGCGUCGGUCGUGAAAACUUGGGGCUUAACCCUGAGCUUGCGGUCGAUACGGGCAUGACUGGAGUUCGGUAGGGGAGACUGGAAUCCUGGUGUAGCGGUGAAAUGCGCAGAUAUCAGGAGGAACACCGGUGGCGAAGGCGGGUCUCUGGGCCGAUACUGACGCUGAGGAGCGAAAGCGUGGGGGCGAACAGG
rnacentral:rRNA from 1 species